GCAGUGGUAGUUCAGCGGUAGAAUUUUCGCUUCCCAUGCAGGAGACCUGGGUUCCGUUCCUGGCCAAUGCA
rnacentral:tRNA from 1 species